rnacentral:misc_RNA from 1 species
UUUCCGUAGGUGAACCUGCGGAAGGAUCAUUAUUGAAACUUCAUCCGGGGCGCCGCGGCCCUCAGCACCGGUGGAAACGCCGUGCUGCGGGGGCCGCGCGUGCACUCGUCCAAACCAAACCCCUGUGAACCUUACGGGAUGGCCCGGGUUAGCGCCCGGUGCCGUUCCGCUUUAUACAAACACUUAUCAAAGAAUGAACUGAAAGCGGUCUGACCGCUGGAUAACAAACUGAAACAACUUUCAACAACGGAUCUCUUGGCUCUC